UUUCCGUAGGUGAACCUGCGGAAGGAUCAUUAAAAAAUUGGACUCCAUUGGUGAGUUCAUUAAUAAUCCCUACCCUUUGUGAAUUUGUUUGUUUGAAUAAUUUUUUUUCCAAAAAAAAUUAUUGAAUGUCUUUCCUUGUUUUGGUGGAGCUUGUAAAGUGAAACCAGGCAGGGGAAUGGCAAACAAUAAUUAUUUUUGAAAAAGACCUUUUUUUAAAAUUAAACUUUUUGUAUUCAUUUGUCUAAAAUUAAUUUUUAUAAUAUAAAAACAACUUUUGACAAUGGAUCUCUUGGUUCUCGCAACGAUGAAGAACGCAGCAAAAUGCGAUAAGUAGUGUGAAUUGCAGAAUACGUGAAUCAUCGAAUCUUCGAACGCAUAUUGCACUUUUUUAGUUUACUAAAAAAGUAUGUCUGUUUGAGUAUCAGUAAAAUAUUCUCAUAAAAAACAUUGUUUUUUUUAUGGUUAUGAGUGUUUUACAACGAUAACAAGUUGUUUCACUUUAAAUUCUUUGUUAUCAAAAAAAUCAUUAAAAGCUAAUUUUAAAGAUUUUUUAAAAUUGGAUAAAAUUUUCCCGUAAAAAGGAAUAACCUAAACAAUUUUAAAAAAUUAAAAUUGGUUUGAUUUUUUUUGAAACCCAAAGGAAAAAAAAACGAAAUUAACUUGAUCUCAAAUCAGAUAAGAGUACCCGCUGAACUUAAGCAUAUCAAUAAGCGGAGGAAAAGAAACUAACUAGGAUUCCCUCAGUAACGGCGAGUGAAGCGGGAAGAGCUCAAAUUUGAAAUCUUCAAGGUUUUACCUUGACGAAUUGUAGUUUAAAGAAGUGUUUUCUGUUGGAGUUUUGGUAAAAGUUCUUUGGAAAAGGACAUCAUAGAGGGUGAGAAUCCCGUAUUUGACCAUUAUCUCCAGCUUUGUGAUACACUUUCAAAGAGUCGGAUUGUUUGGGAAUGCAGUCCAAAAUGGGUGGUAAAUUUCAUCUAAAGCUAAAUACUGGCGAGAGACCGAUAGCGAACAAGUACCGUGAGGGAAAGAUGAAAAGAACUUUGAAAAGAGAGUUAAACAGUACGUGAAAUUGUCAAAAGGGAAGCGUUUGACACCAGUGUUGUUUUCUCGAAAAUCAAUUAAAAAAGGCCGGAUUUUGUGUUGUAUUGACUUUAUCAGCUUUCUGCACUCUUUUCUUGUCUUUUUUAAUGCACUUUUCGUUUAACAAGUCAACAUCAAUCUCUUUUGUUGUAAAAGGGUCAUUGGAAGGUGGCUUUCUUUUCGGAGAAAGUGUUUAUAGCCUUUGGCCUCUGCAAUCGGAGAGAUUGAGGUCUGCAGCGUAGAUCCUUCGGGGUUAGAUACACUUGUGCUAAGUUAUAGCCUUUCAUAGACAACUUGUUGACUGUGAUCAGUCAUGUAGCUUACUCGCUUAUGCUAUUUUACCUACGCUUAGGAUGUUGAG
rnacentral:misc_RNA from 1 species